rnacentral:rRNA from 1 species
CCUACGGGUGGCAGCAGUGAGGAAUAUUGGUCAAUGGGCGCAAGCCUGAACCAGCCAAGUAGCGUGAAGGAUGACUGCCCUACGGGUUGUAAACUUCUUUUUUAAAGGAGUAAAGUGAGGCACGUGUGCCUUUUUGUAUGUACUUUAUGUAUAAGGAUCGGCUAACUACGUGCCAGCAGCCGCGGUAAUACGGAGGAUCCGAUCGUUGUCCGGAUUUAUUGGGUUUAAAGGGAGCGUAGAUGGGUUGUUAAGUCAGUUGGGAAAGUUUGGGGCUCAACCGUAAGAUUGCAAUUGAUACUGGCAGCCUGGAGUACAGUAGAGGUAGGCGGAAUUCGUGGUGUAGCGGUGAAAUGCUUAGAUAUAACGAAGAACUCCGAUGGCGAAGGCAGCCUACUAAACUGUAACUGACGUUGAGGCUCGAAAGCGUGGGUAUCAAACAGGAUUAGAUACCCCAGUAGUC